AAAAUGUUAAAUCUGGCAUCAUAACAAACAAUUCAAGAAUCAACCAUUAAUCGAAUUGGUCUAACCUGUGCCUGGUUGAUUCUCAGUUAAUAGUGAUUAUCAAAUUGUUAUUUCAAAGGACUUGACCUUUCUUUACCUCCAUCCUUUUCAUCAUUACCAUCAUCAAUUUCAAAUGAAAAUUUCAUUUCUUAUCUUAUGAAGAUCAUGUUUUUCUUGUUCUUUUUUUUCAUUGUAUUUUUUAUGGAUAAAAACAAAUGAUUCUCAUUGAUUUAGAUACAUGGAAGUUUAAUUAACACAGUAGAGAAGAGCAAUCUAAUCAAGAUUGUUUUCUUCUAAUUAACUUGAGGUCAAUUUUCAUCUAUCUUAUCUUUUCAAAUUUCCCUCUUCCACCAUUUUAAACCGCCAAAUUAAUUGAGUUAAACAAAAGACGGUUAAAGAGAAGCAGUUCAACUUAUUAAUCAUUCAAGUUUGCUACCUUUUGUUUGCUGUUGUCACUGGAAGUCUAGAAAAAUCUUUAUGUAUGUGAAUAAAUAUCCUUUGGUCUGGCCUUUUCUGUUUGUUAUCAUCUUUAAUCAGAUAAUUACUAAUUAUAUCCUCAACUCCUGUGAAAAAGUCUGUCUUACAGUUUCCUAGUGAUGGUUGAAAAAGAUUAACCAUAAAAGGGUAAUCAAGAUUUUAUAACAAUCCCGAUGAUAUCCAGUCUUCUAUUGGAGUGAUACAACAUUAUUACAAUUUUUGGCUCUUCUCAUCUCUAUUAUUUGAAGCUUCAAUAAGGUGUUUAAUAAUUUUCACUCGUCUGGAAGAAAAGAGGAUAAAAGGGUUUCUUUUUUGUCAGUGUCUUCCAAUUUGCGCUGAACUCAUCCUAAUUCAAUUUUGUUGAUAUUUCAACUCUGAAUUCACAUUCAAGGCACUCUUUCAUUAUGAUGAUGAUGAUCUUUAUUAAUGUUAUUAUCCGCAUGUCUAGCAACAACACAUAGCAUCAGUUAUCUUGUCACUUUAUUUGUUUCAUUUACUACGUUCUGAUGGCUGAUAUAACUUGACAGGUAGACGGUUGCUGUGUGUCUCUAUUGUUGACAUGAUUCAUUUUGUUUUAAUCAUAGUAACAAAAAUUGAAGCAACCUCAAUUUUUAACCAUGAGGUAUAAACAUACAAGUUUUACUUUUUCACUCCAGUUUUACAUAAUAAUAAUAAUCAGAGUCAUCAUUAACCUGUCUUGGUGUCAUUCAUUUGUUGUCCUUUCCAGGAAAAAAAAUGAGUAAUUACUCCUUUAUUAAAUUUAAAUACGAUCUCAUCAAACUCAACAUAAUCCAUCUGAAGUGCAAAAAUUUAAUUCUCUUGAGUUCAAUCAUUGAAUCAGAUAAUGAAACGAGAAUCAAUCAAUUUUAAACAUUUGUUUCAUCUUUUAAUGAAUCUGAAGCCUCUUAUUCUAUUUAUCAUCAAUGGGUAUCAAUAUUAAGGUUACAUUAAUUCAUCAUUAAACCCACAAAUAAUUUCCAAAAGAAGACAAAUAAUCUUAAUGGCAGUGCUCAAUCCAGGAACCAAGCAAUCUUUGAGCUAAACAAAAUGUACCUGAUACUCUCAAUUUACGCCCAAACAAUUAACCGGUAUCAUUAAUGUACAUCGAAAUCAAGUGAUGACAGUGAUCAUAGCACUGAUGAUGAUCAGGCUAAAAGUGAAUUCACUUUUGUUGCCAAAUCAACAGCCUACCUGAUAUUAUGAUUCAAAUGACUGAUUGAACUGUGAUUCCAAUUGUCGACUGGAAUAUUCGCCAAGCAAUAUUAGCUGUUAAUCAUAAAAAGCCACACAUAAAGCCAACGUCAGAUAAUCUACAAAACUUAUUCGCCUCUUAUGUAUCACAAUAUCGGUUGAUGUAAAACUCACUUAGCAAUAGCUUUAUUCAAUUAGUCAACAUUGAGUGUAGCACAAUCAACCUUGCAUUUGAUCCAGUUGACUGUCUAAGCCUUUCUCUUCCUAAAACACUUCUCAAGUAAAAGUAGUCGUAUAGCUGUGAUAACAAUCAAA